AGAACGAACGCUGGCGGCGUGCUUAACACAUGCAAGUCGAGUGCGCGUUCCGGUCGCAAGACCGGAAUGGCGCACGGCGCACGGGUGCGUAACACGUGGGUAAUCUGCCCUCUGAUGGGGAAUAACUCGCCGAAAGGCGAGCUAAUUCCGCAUAAUAUUCCGGGAACUUAUGUUUCUGGACUGAAAGGCGUAAGUCGUCGGAGGAGGAGCCCGCGCACGAUUAGCUAGUUGGUAGGGUAAUGGCCUACCAAGGCUUUGAUCGUUAG
rnacentral:rRNA from 1 species